AACCUAGCACACCUGCGGUGUGUACCUGCGGAGGGAUCAUUACUGAGUGUAAAAACUCCCAAACCCACUGUGAACAUACCACUGUUGCUUCGGCGGAUGCGCCCCGGGCGCGCCCUACAAAGGCGUGCCCCGGAUCAAGGCCACCGCCGGGGGACCGAAACUCUUGUUUUCCUAAGGAUUCUCUGAGUGUGAUUAUUAAAUCAAAUCAAAACUUUUAGCAACGGAUCUCAGAUCGGAAGA
rnacentral:misc_RNA from 1 species